UACUAUCUUUUGCCUCUUGCCUACUGUCCAGCACCACUCGUCUACCGUCUCCUAUGCUGACCCACGCCACUCACCUACUGUUUCCUAACACAAACUGUAACAUUAAGCUGACACAAUCUUGCUGCACGGUUACUUAUCUGCAUGCAAUCACUAUUGCCAGCUGUUAUGAGUAAACAUUAUAUUGGGACACCAAUAUAUUUCUGAUUCACGGGCAGUGUAUUUGCUACUGAAGAAAAGGAGAACACAUAGUAAUUGUUCUUGGAUGGGGAUUUAGAGUAAGGUUUCUAUUGAUCUUUUUCAGAUAAGGCCUCUUCAUUUUCAACUGUGAAGGAUCUACAUGGACUCGGUCUGGAUAGCCUUUCCUGUUUUGAUGAGCCAGUCGGGUCUAGAGGAAAAACCCUAUAUGAGCCCCAGGAUCCUUGCUCCUGAUAUCCUGAUGUAUGGGAUGCACUUCAUUAUAUGACUCCAACAGAACACUCACAGAAAGGAGAGUGGUGUCAAACUACAAGACA